rnacentral:rRNA from 1 species
AACGAACGCUGGCGGCAUGCCUAACACAUGCAAGUCGAACGAGACCUUCGGGUCUAGUGGCGCACGGGUGCGUAACGCGUGGGAACCUGCCCUUAGGUUCGGAAUAACUCCCCGAAAGGGGUGCUAAUACCGGAUAAUGUCUUCGGACCAAAGAUUUAUCGCCUUUGGAUGGGCCCGCGUUGUAUUAGCUAGUUGGUAGGGUAAACGCCUACCAAGGCGACGAUCCAUAGCUGGUCUGAGAGGAUGCUCAGCCACACUGGGACUGAGACACGGCCCAGACUCCUACGGGAGGCAGCAGUGGGGACUAUUGGACAAUGGGCGAAAGCCUGCUCCAGCAAUGCCGCGUGAGUGAUGAAGGCCUUAGGGUUGUAAAGCUCUUUUACCCGGGAUGAUAAUGACAGUACCGGGAGAAUAAGCUCCGGCUAACUCCGUG